rnacentral:rRNA from 1 species
UGCCAGCCGCCGCGGUAAUACGGAGGGUGCAAGCGUUAUCCGGAAUCACUGGGUUUAAAGGGUGCGUAGGCGGCGCAGUAAGUCAGAGGUGAAAGGUUACGGCUUAACCGUAAGACUGCCUUUGAUACUGUUGUGCUUGAAUCAGGCUGAGGUCAGCGGAAUGAGUCAUGUAGCGGUGAAAUGCAUAGAUAUGACUUAGAACACCAAUUGCGAAGGCAGCUGGCUAGACCUGCAUUGACGCUGAGGCACGAAAGCGUGGGGAGCGAACAGGAUUAGAUA